UGAUGACGAGACGCUAAGGCGUUGAAGCAGUGUAUGUCAGACUUCCAAGAAAAGCUCGCAAUGUCACAAAUAAAAAUGCCUGUACCAUAACCGACACAGGUGGGUAGGUAGAGUAUACUAAGGGGCGCGAGAUAACUCUCUCUAAGGAACUCGGCAAAAUGACUCCGUAACUUCGGGAGAAGGAGUGCCUUAUUUAUAAGGUUGCAAUAACAAGAUCCAAGCAACUGUUUAUCAAAAACACAGGUCUCCGCUAAGUCGUAAGACGAUGUAUGGGGGCUGACGCCUGCCCAGUGCCAGAAGGUUAAAGAAGUUGGUUAGUGUAUGCGAAGCUGAUGACUGAAGCCCUGGUGAACGGCGGCCGUAACAAUAACGGUCCUAAGGUAGCGAAAUUCCUUGUCGGGUAAGUUCCGACCCGCACGAAAGGCGUAAUGAUUUGGAUACUGUCUCGGAGAGAGGCUCGGUGAAAUAGACUUGUCUGUGAAGAUGCGGACUACCUGCACCAGGACAGAAAGACCCUAUGAAGCUUUACUGUAACUUGAAAUUGGAAUUGGACUUUGCUUGCGCAGUAUAGGUGGGAAGCGUUGAAAAUAUUCUUGCGGGAGUAUUGGAGCUAUCAGUGAGAUACCACUCUUGUAAUGUUAGAUUUCUAACUUUGAACCAUAAUCUGGUCAAAGAACAGUUUCAGGUGGGCAGUUUGACUGGGGCGGUCGCCUCCCAAAUGGUAACGGAGGCGUACAAAGGUUUCCUCUGAACGGAUAGAAAUCGUAUCUAGAGUGUAAAGGCAUAAGGAAGCUUGACUGUGAGACCUACAAGUCGAGCAGGGACGAAAGUCGGUCUUAGUGAUCUGACGGUACUGAGUGGAAAGGCCGUCACUCAACGGAUAAAAGUUACUCUAGGAUAACAGGCUGAUCUCCCCCAAGAGUUCACAUCGACGGGGAGGUUUGGCACCUCGAUGUCGGCUCAUCGCAUCCUGGGGCGGUAGUACGUCCCAAGGGUUGGGCUGUUCGCCCAUGAAAGCGGUACGCGAGCUGGGUUCAGAACGUCGUGAGACAGUUCGGUCCAUAUCCGGUGUAGGCGCUAGAAUAUUGAGAGGAGCCUUCUUUAGUACGAGAGGACCGAGAAGGACACACCGCUGGUGUACCAGUUAUCGUGCCAACGGUAAACGCUGGGUAGCUAUGUGUGGAGUGGAUAACCGCUGAAAGCAUCUAAGUGGGAAGCCCACCUCGAGAUGAGUAUUCUCAG
rnacentral:rRNA from 1 species